rnacentral:rRNA from 1 species
GACGAACGCUGGCGGCGUGCUUAACACAUGCAAGUCGAACGGAAAGGCCCUGCUUUUGUGGGGUGCUCGAGUGGCGAACGGGUGAGUAACACGUGAGUAACCUGCCCUUGACUUUGGGAUAACUUCAGGAAACUGGGGCUAAUACCGGAUAGGAGCUCCUGCUGCAUGGUGGGGGUUGGAAAGUUUCGGCGGUUGGGGAUGGACUCGCGGCUUAUCAGCUUGUUGGUGGGGUAGUGGCUUACCAAGGCUUUGUCGGGUAGCCGGCCUGAGAGGGUGACCGGCCACAUUGGGACUGAGAUACGGCCCAGACGCCUACGGGAGGCAGCAGUGGGGAAUAUUGCACAAAGGGCGGAAGCCUGAUGCAGCAACGCCGCGUGCGGGAUGACGGCCUUCGGGUUGUAAACCGCUUUCGCCUGUGACGAAGCGUGAGUGACGGUAAUGGGUAAAGAAGCACCGGCUAACUACGUG